UUUAAAGCUCUGUUAAGGUACGGAAAGAAGCAGUUUGCAGUUGAUGAGACCAGGCGUGAUACUUAGAAUUGUCCAGUGCCUUCAUGCAAUGAACCACCAGUAUUGACUACUUGCUUCUAUUCUUAAAGCUCUGUUAAGGUACGGAAAGAAGCAGUUUGCGGUUGAUGAGACCAGGCGUGAUACUAGAGAAUUGUCCAGUGCCUUCAUGCAAUGAACCACCAGUAUUGACUAGUUGGAUUUUCUGAAUUUUUGUGCAUCUUAAUUCUGAUUUCUGAAGCUGUUUCCUGGGGAAAAAUACGACGAUCUGCAAAAGCUGUUAAGAAAUAUUGCUUCAGAGGAGUUUGAAGAACAUUCGUGGACAUUCUAGGACUUAAGAUUGCAAUUUGUUUAGCCAUGACUCCGCCAUGUGUGUUAUAAAUUCUGAAAAUCGCAAGAAGCAACAAUGGAGGCAUAAAAUGGGCCCAAUCAAUUUUGCAAGAGUGCGUGUUGAUUUGGUAAGCGUGAGAAAAAAGAGAACAAAGAGGAACCAAAUCAAGCUGAAAUAUUUGUUGCAACUCGGAAUGGACUAAAAGGGAAAACACUUGAUGUAGAAACACAAGCUGUUAUUGAUAAACUUGAUGAUCUCCAAGAAGCUGGAGAAACUCCUACUAAUGCAUUUCAAAAAGUUUUUGGUAAAGAGAAUCCAGGAAGAGUUCGAUGUUAUGGAAGAACUGUUACAAAAACUUCUCUUAAGAAAAAUAAAGAAAUAGAUGAAAUCAAAAAACAAAGUGAAGAGAAGGUAACAGCUUUAAAAACUGAAUUAGACGACCAUAAGCAACGACUGCAAGGAUUGGAAGAUAUUGUGAAACUUAUGUUGCAACAAACUUCUCCUGGUAUGAAUGUUGAUGAAGCGCUUUCUCUCUUGCGAUCUAAGCAAUCGUCUGCAAAUAGUGCACAAGAUCCAAAUUUAGUUCCUCGGCAUUCUCCUCCAUCGACUCAUAUACCAAAUCAUGAAUAGCUUUCUUAUUGUUGGAGGAAGUUUUUUGAAGACAUAAAGACAAUUCUUGCCACAAUGGUGAAGCACAAAGUCUUCUUGGUUUUUAGUGGACAACUUAGUUU